UUCCGCCCCAGCUUCUCCUACUCCCCAAGCUGCUCCUUCCCAACCUAGCACGCCCCGUCCUGUUCUCUCUGACAGGGCCACGGCCUCCCUAUGGGCACAGCCGGGAGGGGAAGAGCAGGAGUGAGGGGCCAGCGGGGUCGGACGAGGAGCUCUGAUCGGGGGCCAGGGCCUCACAGUCUUCCAGACCUCACCGUGUCCCCUGGAAAGGAGGAAUCCUCUUCAGGCCCCACAGCAGAGGCUGGGGGUGGGGGGCGGUGGCAGUGGGAGGAUGCAAGCAGAGUACCCGACCAGGGCCUUGGUCUUUGCCAAGGUCUCUGACCAGAGGGACGGCUGCAUGGGACAAAGCAAGAGUGGAGGUUUUUCUGGAACGGGGUCUCUAAGGCUGGGCCUGACGGAUGUCUCCGUGGCCCCCCCUCCGUGCUCCCCACCUCCCUAUGCUGCCUGUCUAUGCCUUUAUUAGCUCAGAAGGUUCCCCCAAGUUCCCCAUUGUAGGCAGAAGCGCCUCCAGAUAGAAGGCGGCCAAACCAACCGGGGCAGGGUGUGGGGCGCACAGGUCAGCCGGACAGGGUGGGCGGGAGGGCGGGGUGGUGCGCGAUUUUCAGAACUGAUUUUCACACCAUGCGCAGAGCUCGCAGGCACAGAGGCAGGCCCUGGAGUUCCCCUCAUCAAGCCUCAGUUUCUUGAUCUGCAGAGGCCGCCCAGGCUGGGGGAGAAGGGUCAGCCAGGGUCACGUUCGUCACCUGCGUGGAAGCUUUAGAUGGUCCUCUCUGCCGGGGCUGGGUCUUGGGACAGGCCCCCCAGGCUGCCCCUGAAGGUCAGGGCGAGAGGGAAGCCCCAGCUACAGCAAGGGAGAUUGAGACCAGAUACAAGGAGGGACUUUUCAGGUAAGGUGAUGAGACCUUUGUAUUGGGGCCUGGACACCCCGAUUUCCUCAUUCCUGUAAUAUCCUCUACAUCUUAGCAUCGCUGUGAGGAGUGAAUGAAACACUGAAUGUAAAAGGCCCCAGCAGUGCCUGCCCAGCGCACGAUGUGCCGGAUCCUCUCAGGAUAUUAGGAAUUGUAGCAAGUAAGUGCAUGGUGGUCCUGGUGGGGGUUCUGGCCAGCAGACACGGCAGGAACGGACCACAAGGAGGCGUCCCCCCUCAGCCCCGCUCAGGCUGCCCUCGGGCCGCGGCCAUACCACCAGCACCCCGAUGGAUGUCUCUGUCCCUGACAUGGCGUAGAUGCCCUCGUCUUUGAUGAAGGGGUAGGACCUCUGCUCGUGGAGCAGCAGCCGGGCACCGGCCGUGGACGUGAGGAAGGGCACAUAGUCCUCUUGGCCUAUAUCCAGGAUCAGCUUCAGGCCUGUGGGAAGGGACAGUGGAACAGCUCGGCGCACACAGAAGAGACCCAGCCGUGGCCAUCCCUCCGUGGGCCACCUGCUGUCUCACCCUGGCCCUGCCCCUUAACAGCUCCCGGUCACUAGGUCUUUUAGCCCCACGUGGUGGGGAUUUCAAGCCCCCUGGCUCUGGCCCCAGGGUGAACCAAGACUUACCGAACUCAGCUCCGGGGUUGGCCGAAGGGAGCGCCUUCUCUGUCAUGCCCCAGUUGAAGAUGUAACAGUUGCCAUAAUCUGGGUGGAAGAUGGAAGUGAAGUUCCUAAAAGAAACACCAUCAGCUGGAGAGCAGGGCCCACCCCAGCUGGUGCCUCCCUGACACCGUCUGCUGUCCAGGACACAGGGUGGAGGACAAAGGGCGCAGGGGAGCCACGGAACCCAGCCAGUUGUUAAAACAGUUCUGGCUUGACCCAGCUCAUUCUCUGGAGAAGCAGUAAAGGGAUCAACAUUUCGCACCCUGGAUGAAUGAAUGAAUGAAUGAAUGGCUUUGGGCAAUGCCCACCGGUGGACGAGCACAGGCUGCUGAGGAGGUGGCCUUGUCAGUAAAACACAAAAAUCCUGGAACAGGACCAUCUAUAACCACCAUCUACAGGAAAUACUGGAGACAGAGGAACAGGUUCAAAGACACCAAGGAAAAGUCAACUUGUAAAAUCCAGACCUUGGGGAAGUCAACAGGAUAAAUAUCCCAGUUUCUUCAACAAACACCCUGUGAGAAAGGAAAAGGGAGACAACCUACAGAUGAACAGAAACUUUAAGACUUGGGUUGCAACCACAACAUGCUGCCUUUAGUUGGAUCCUAACUCACACACACAGAUGAGCAAAAGAUACAUUCUAAGCUUUUUAGAGGUGAAAGACCCUGGAGUCUGGGCUUUGCUGCAGAAUGGACAGGACGGGGGAGAGAGUAGCAGCUCUGGAAUCGGGAUGGUGCAUCCAUGUGAGGUCAUCGUGCUCUGUUCCUUCUGCAGGUGUGUCCUCGGGCCUCUGUUAGGAAUCGCUUCACGAAUGUCUUUGCAUGAUUUUAUUUUGUUUUUCUUUUCUUAUUAAAACAGGAAGGAAAGGGGCCUGAUUGCAACAUGGUCUUCUAAGCCCCGGAUUUGGAAGCCUUGACUGUGCAACUUUUAGGGGCCAGCCCGGGUUGCAUAGUUCUGCAUGCAUUUUCUCAUUCGAUCCUCAAAGUAACCCCAUGGUGAGGUCAGCUGUUAUUUGCCCCAGUGUUCAGAUCAGGAAACCAUUCCUUCCACCUGUGUCCCCCCCAAGCGCUAGCAGAACACGAGGUGGGUCCCGGGCAGGCUGCCACAUCUAAGCAGGGAGAUGUGAGCGCCUUACUCCAUGUCUGGCCUUCGGUGUCCUCAAUAGUGAAAGGGAAAUCAGAACAAAAUCACAUUUCUUCACUCCACAGGUGUUUACUGAGGCAGAUGCUGGGUUGGGCACAACGGGGGUACACAACAGAGUCCUGCCCUGGACAGUCACCAUGUAGCGGGGGGACCCGGCAUGGCGAGAGCAGCGUUCUGUCCAUGCUCCCCUUCCAGAAUGUGCCUCUGGCUUGUCCACCUGUCUCCAUGGCUGAGGCUCCCCCUGCAACAGGGUUCAAGCCACCAGCACCGGGCCCUGCUCGCCUCCUACAGGAGCCUCUGUCCUUCCCCUCUUGUUCUAGUAGUGGUCCUUCUAGUAGUCUUGUUUUAGUUCUAGUCCUUCCCCUCUUGUUCCCCUCUUGUUCUGCACGGCGGGCAGGGUGAUGGUUUGAACUGUGAAUUGGAGAAGGGUACACUUCCACUGGGAACCCUCCAGAAGCUCCUUGCAGUUCCAGAUGAAAACACCAAUGCCCUAUGUUGGUCUUCCCCUCCUUGUCUGUUACACUCCAGCAGCACUCCAAGGUGUUUCCAAAUUCAAGGUCCCUGGGUGCCCGGAAUAUUUUCCGAUCCGUUAGCCCAGUAAGUGGCUUCUCCUCAUUCUUUGGGAUUCACCAGCUCUGAGACCGACCCCCUGCACUCUCCGGGCAAAGUCACUUCCCUCCCCAGUUACCGGAUCAUUUCUACCUGCUUAUUCCCUGAGAGCAUGAGUCCAAAUUGGAAAUUAUCCUCUUUAGUUAACUGAUGCUUAUCAACGGCCUCCUGAUUUAGAAGGUAAGCCCAGGGAAGGCAGUUGUCUGUCUUGAAGGAGGAAUCACAUUUGGAGGCUAAGAUCCCGGGCCUGGGAGCCAGCCUGUCUGGAUUCCAGUUUCGGCUUUGUCACCGAGUUAACUAGUGAGCUUGGGCUCUCUGAGCCUCGCCGGCCCCACCUGUCACGCCGGGGUAGUUAGCAGCACCCAUCCCACAGGACCAAGGCGAGGGCUGGAUGGCGAGUGUAUUGAAAUACUCAGCAAGUGCUGGGUUACACACUCUGUCCUCAGAGCCCGGCCCGCACUAGACAGACACUCAGUAAAUAUUUGUUGGGUGAAUUAUAAUACGGGAUAAGUGGAUCAACAGAGAUAAGCUUGGAGGAGGGACACCUCAUUCUCGCUGGGCUGUGUGUGGGCGUGUGGGUCAUGGAAGGGUUCUUGGAGGAGGGGAAGCCCGAGCUGAGACUUUUAAGCAUGGCUAAGAGGUAGGCGAGCAGCCUCAGGCACAGAGAGGAGAAAGGGCACAUCAGGCCGGCAGCACUGCACAGGCGAAGGCCCAGAGGGAAGGAAUCGCUCUGGGCGGGUACUAGCGAGUCUCAUCUGCGGAUGAUCAGGGCUGUGGCCACGGGAGGAAGAGAGCAGGGCAAACCAGCUGAAGCCGGGCACUGUUCUAGAAGGAGAGACCCCGCCCCAGGCAUGUGGGGACACAGUGUUCCCAAGAAACCGUCUUGGACAUCUGCGGCCCUGGAGCAGGCGGCCGCCGCUCAGGGCGUGGCCAGACCCCCUCUCCGUGCCCAGGGCCAUGCUCUCCAUCUCGCCGUGUGUGCCAACUGUCUGCUUGUUGACUGUGCCCUUUCCCUGGAGGGGCUGCUCCCAGCCCCUGCCGACUCUCGCUACAGAGCCAGGCUUUUUCCCAAAACACCUUCCCGGGACAGGCGUAAGGCAUGGUGGCCCCAGACCGGCGCAAAACCUCCAGAAAAGACUGAAAGGCAGAGCAUCCUGGCAGGAAGACGUACAACAGCGGCGGAAAAGGAAGCAGAGCUCCUCAGAGAAACGGCGGCUUCUGGGGCUGGGGCAUCAUCAGGGGCCAGAAAGCAAGGAAGUAGACCAAAAAAAAAAAAGAGAGAGAGAGAUGGGGAUGUGUCAGAGAGACACAGGAGCCCAACGCAAGGCCCUGCUGCUAGCCGAAGCUGGAAGAAUUUGAGUAAGAAAAUAAAUAACGUGGGAUGGGAUCCCAAGGCAAAGAUAGACGAGUCGGUACCAGGAUAAGUGAUUGAAUAGCAUGAAAAAGGAAAGAAGACGGAACCCUUCCCCACAGAAGAAUUCCAAAGAGUCUAUAUUCCUGCCUCCAGGAGACCAGGAGCCAAGUGCCCCUUGCUCCCUGUCACCCCAUCUCCCCCCGAGCGUGGGCUCCACUUCAUGAUUUGUUCCGCGUGGAAGGGAAGGCGGCCCCCACCCCGUCCCUUAACCAAGUGAGGAAGGUCAAUAUCCUGGGCGGCGGUGUCCCCCCCGGAGAAGGCUGUAAGGAGGUGAGCACCUCACCUCUGUGCCCUUCUUCCCGCAAACCCAUCUAGUCUGUAUAAACCCAAAUCAAGGACCUUCUAUAACACAGCAUCUAGGUCCUUCCAUCCCCACGAUAGCCCUAGGAGGCCACGGCACGAUCCCCAUUUUCCAGAUGAGAAUACUGAGGCCCAGAGAGGCCAAGAAGCGGGCCCAGCAGCACACAGAGUGGGCAUUCAAAUCCAGGCACUGUGGCAUCAGGGUCCUAAUGUGGCUCCCUGUUUCCUAAUUAUAGCUGCUGUUUCGUGAGCCUUUGUCCCGGUCCAGGGAGAGAGGAUGGAGUCAGAAGAACAGUGAGGAAGUGGAGACGUAGCGUCUGGAGCCCGGCAUUGGGAGGGCAGAGGGCGGUGUGUGUCCUCUGGCGCCACAUCUGGGGCUGACUCGAGAAGACAAGUGACCGAGAGCAGGCUUGGGAGACGCGGGUGGGGACGGCAGAUGAUGAUCUGGUUUUCUGAUGGCCCAGACUGCCGGCUCUGCCACUCACCAGCUGUGUUGACCUCCAAGACGUUGCUUAACCUCUCUGGGCCGUGGCUGCCUCCUAUAACAUGGGCUGACAUAAGAGUACCUUUCUCAUGGGCUUGUGGCCAGGGUUAAAUUAAUUUUACACCUGUGAAGGGCUAAGAAUAGCCUUUGACACAGCAGCAGGGCUCGAUCCACGCUAGCAUUAUUAUGGGAUAGUGAGUUUCUGAUCAAAUGUGGGUUGAAUGGCAGUAAUAGCUAUUAUUUAUUGAGGCUAGCCCUACUGUGGGCACAUCACCUCAUUUAAUACUCAAAAUACCCCCACCGAGUAGACCUGUUACUACCCCAUUUCACAGGAGAGGAAAACCGAGACCCAUCGAGUUUAAGCUUGUUGAGGGUCAUAUGGCUUUGUAAAGCAGGGAAGGGAUCUGGGCCCAGUGGUCUAACCACACAGCCCAGCCUUGACCCCUCGCUAGAGCUACCCCCUGGCCACAGCCAUACCACAGACGUGGCGUGGCCGACGCUGGGUGUUCUGCCUGCCCCAACACCAUCUGUUCCCCCUUCUCUGCUAAGGCUCCUCUGCUUCUCUUUGGGGGACCACCCAUUCCUCACUCUCAGUCUUGGGGCCCCCACGGGACCUGCUUUGUGGAGGGUGCGAGGGCAGGAGCUGCCCAGGAUGGAGCCAUGCCUUGUGCACAGUGCAGGCCCUGGGGACUGAGGGUAGAACCCAGCAGACCCUAAUGGACCCCUCUCCUACCUGCCUCACCGCCCCACCCCGCAACAGCCAGGUCUCUCCUCACCGAGCAGAAGGACCCCAGGCUUGAAGGCAGAGGCUGACCCCUCUCUCUAGCCGAGAGGGCAAAGGUGACCGUGCCAAUGUGACACGCUGGCCCACCGGCUCCCUGCGGCCUUCUGGGAGGGCUGCCAGGAGCAGCUGACCACGGGCACGCGGAGCAAAGGCCACCGGCUGAGAGUAAGGGGCUGGCAUCCAGCCAGCAGCCACCCACGCCACCAGCAGGACGCCUCCUGUCACCAGGGACACUGGCCUGCUUUUUUCCGCCUGCGGGCCACACCUUUCUAGCUCACACCACGCGGCCGGGUGCGCAGAUCUGGCGCCUCAGGGCUCCGGAGUCCCUGGCGCUGCCUGCAGAGUGCCUGCCCCUGUGGGUCCCCCUGGCAUUCGGCAGACUCUCCGUAGAGCUUCCUGGGGGCUCAUGGGUGGAGAGAGCACGCAGGGGUCAGGCACCGACGCCGGGAGGGUGACACCGGAAGCCUGUCACUCAUGACAUGUGGCAGGACUCCGUGGACUUCUCCAGGGGCCCGAGGUACGAGGCCGUGGAGCCUGGACCAGCAGGACACCAGCACGCGUGGCCCCGCAGAGAUCUGGUCACAAGGCCCCGGAGGGGCCACCUGGCUGUGGCAGCUCUGCCUGGGCGGAGACUUGGGCCGCGGUCCUGCCCCAGAGACACCAGGGGCUCGGUGUGUCAGAGCAGGGGUGGGGAAGGAGGGGGGACCUGUGCCCCAUCGUAAGAGCCGCAGGCUUUGGGGUGAAUGUUCUUCUCCCUCUGCCCUCCUCUCAACCUUGGGGGGUGUCCGGGAUGCGGGCGAACGCUCCCAGGGCCCGGCUCUCGGUGCUGAGCUGAGCCAACUCCGCUCUCGUCCCGGGCGGGAGAGGUGGCGGGAGAAGCGGGGCGGGGGGUGCCGCCUUGCCCGCCCGGGUCCCUCAGCCGCUGGGUGUUGGAGGCCAACGGCUCCCAGCCGCCCCCUCUGCAGCCCCCUUGCCUGGGACGUGAGGGGAUCUCAGCCCAUCCCCCACGAGGUACUGACGCGGCAGGGACCACUGGCCGGCCCCUCAGGGGGACCGUCCUGUGUGGCUAAUGCUCCCGACGCCCCAGGGAUGGGGCCUCCAUGUCACCUGCCUUUUAUGACAUGGACCCUCCCCACAGCCCUGUCUCAGGCUCUGCCUCCAGGAAACGUGACCGGAGACCCCGAGGCACAGGACACUGUGCUGGUGACCGUGCCUCCUUCCAUCCGCCCGUUCACGUCUUCAUCCACCGAGUAUGCAGAGAGCGCCUACUAGGUACCAGGCAUUGCGCAAAGCACAGAGGAUAUGAGAGCGAACAAGCCACAUGCGUUCCCUUUCCUUUACAAAGUUCACACUGUAACGAGGAAGACUCCUAACAGCUCCUGGCUCCAACGCUCCAGCAGCGACUUUGGGAAGCAGAGGGAGUCUCACGAGGGAGAAGGACCUUGUUUCGGGCAAGAAUGUUCCCUGUGACUCAGCCACACUGGCCCUUCCUGCAGUUCCUGGAAAGCACCAGACUCCGUCUCGUCCCAGGGCCUUGGCAGCCAUUCUCCACUGGGGGCCACGCUGCGCCCCACCUAGCUGGUGUCUGCCCAUACCUGGGGGUGUUCUCCUCUGGCUGGCCCGCUGCCCCUCAUCAACCCCGGUCAGGCCGGCUGCCUCGCCGGGUCCUGUUCGUAGGCCUUUGCCAUCACGUGGCUGCGCAGUGGCAGCUCCGGAGUCAGAUCUGGCCGGGAUUCCGAUGCCACGGCUGUUCGCUGUGUGUCUCUGGCUAAGACUACUCGGCAGGUGGUAUUUGAUGCCACAAAUGGGGAGACUGCCCGAGAAUUAAAGCCAACACAGAGGAUAGCAGAGCCCAAGAUGGAGAGAGUGAUUUCUGGCAACAUUGGAACACCUGGAUCCAGCCGCUCCUGAAGCCACUUAUUCCUGGACUCAGCAGAACCUGGAAAACAGCUUAUGAGAGAAUGUCAGUGGAUAAAGGUGAUAUCAUAACCACAGAUCUUUCUCGACUUACACUGGGGUUACGUCCUGAUAAACCCACGUGUUGAGUAUCUCCGUACUCGAUCGGAUACUACACUGAAAGCAAGAAAGAGGCCAGUCGUCGAGGUGUAGAAGGGUUGAAGCAGAUUGACUGUUUGCUCUCAGGAUCGGGUGGUUGACGGGACGCUGUGGCUUCCUCCGGCCACUACCCAGCAUCAUGAGAGAGGAUCGCACCGUGUAUCACCAGCCCGGGAAAAGAUCCAAGUUCAAAAUUCCAGGCUGCAGGAAAAUGGGAGGCAGACAGCAGAACAGUUUCCACAACUAAAUGAUCACAACUAGUAUCUACUAUUAUGCUGACGAUAGCAGCUCCCAUUGGUCGAGCACCUAACGUGGUCCAGGAAAGGUCACAGGACUUCACCUGCAUCUUCUCCUUUAACCAGUCCUGCAAGGAACCACAGCCUCCAUGGCCCGGCUGAUGGCCCCAGGCUGCCCUGGAGAUCCAGCUGCCCGCCCUCUCAAGUUCAAGGACUUCAGGGCACUGUCCCUGGCCUGGGUGGUCAUUCUUGUUCAAGGCAAUCAUGGCGGAUGGAGCUGGGCGGAUGGAGAGAGCCCUGCCCACAUCCCUGAGGCGACAACAGCCACAACAGGUGGCUACAGGCCUGGAGCUGAAGGCCUGGGCCCACCUAACCAACCCCCCGCCCCCACCCCGGGGGGCUUGGGGCUCCAAUCUGCUUGAGCAGGGCUCCCCCCACCUCCCGUGGUAGCUAAUGCAAGACCUCCCUGGAGGAGGCCUUUGUGGUAAAAUGCCCAGAUCAGAAUCCCUUGGAAUGGGGAAGAGGUUUGCAACACACAGAAAGUUCUCCAGGCCCCUCUGCUAUGUUUUUAAGUGGUGGGCCUGAACUUGAGGAAGCCGCUUGGGUCUGGUCAAAGAGAAAAUUGACCAAAGCAGACAACAAAGACCUUAUUCCCUUGGCAACAGCUGCGUGUCAAGGAGUCUGACCUCUGAGGGGACAUCUGGCCAUCUGGGGGACCUCGGAGGACCCUCACCCCUAGUGAGAGCCGUUGGGUCCUGCACACAGGGCACAGCUGCGAACAAUAUCUCUCAGAGUCUGCUCGCAGAUCAGCGGCAGCCGAAUCAGCUGGGAACUGGUUAGAAAGGCAAGUCCUCAGGCCCUACUCCAGACCUCCUGAACCAGAAACUCUGGGUUUGAACAGCAGCCCAGGAGACUCGGGGCCACACUGAAGUUCGAGAAUGAAGGCGUUCAGCCUACUACUCAAAGUAUGGCAGCAGGACCCCAGGUCAGCAUCCUCUCGCCUCAACACCCUAGCCCCGCUUGCCCUAUUGGAUCAGAGUCUGCACUUGCCAAGACCCCAGGGCACGCAUACGCGUGUUAAAAUUCGAGAUGCGCUAGCCUGGAGUUCCCUACCGGUAAGUCAAGGAGUCUCAUACUCAUAUGCUUUCAGGAGCCAAGCAGGUGACGCACCCCAAAAUGAAGCCAGCUGGCACACCAGCCUGCAAGUGUGCUCACAGGACGUGGGGCAGGAAAUGUGCCUUACACUCUGGGUAAGAUUUCCUUGCUUGGCCACAGCCCUCCCAGGCAUGGCAAGAGGCACACACACAGCAAAGACUCAAGAAGGGCUGGGACAGGGGUUCUCAAACUCGGCAGCAUAAAAGUAUCACCUGUAGAUCUGGGCGAAACGUUGACACCUGACUCCCAACCCCAGAUCGCCUAAUAUGCUUGAAAAAGCCCCCCCAAUUCCAAUUAAUUCCAAUGAGCAGCAGUCUGGGAACGACCAGGCUAUAGCCAGUCUGCAAACUUUCUCAGUAAAGGGCCAGAUGGUGCUAGCUCAAGUUCUGCGGGUGUCCAUGUCCAUCACGGCCACCCCAGGCAGCCACGAUAGUGCAAAAGCAGCCAGAGUUAAGAAGAAAUGGUUGAGCGUGGCUGGUGUUUCAACAGCACUUCAUUUAUGAAUGCUGCAUUUUCAGUUUCGUUGUACUUGCACAGUAAUGGAAUAUUACUUUUCUCUUGAUUUUUUUUUCCUUUUUAAAGAUUUUAUUUAUUUAUUUUAGAGAGAGAGAGUGAGCGUGGGUGAGCAGGGUGAGGAGCAGAGGGAGAGAGACAAGCAGACUCCCCACAAUUCAGCGUGGAGCCCAGUGCAGGGCAUGAACCCAUAACUCUGAGAUUGUGUUCUGAGCCGAAAUCAAAGAGUCAGCCACUUACUGAAUGCGCCACUCAGGUGCCCCCUCUUGAUUUUUUUUUUUUUAAGAUUUUAUUUAUUUGACAGGCAGAGAUCACAAGUA